CCUACGGGAGUCAGCAGUGAGGAAUAUUGGUCAAUGGCCGGAAGGCUGAACCAGCCAUGCCGCGUGAAGGUCAGUGCCCUAUGGGCGUUACACUUCUUUUGUGCGGGAGCAAUAAUGGUCACGUGUGGCCAGACGAGAGUACCGUACGAAUAAGCAUCGGCUAACUCCGUGCCAGCAGCCGCGGUAAUACGGGGGGUGCAGUCGUAAUCCGGAUUAAUUGGGUUUAAAGGGUGCGUAGGUUGUGUGGUAAGUCAGCGUGAAAAUGCCCCCGCUCAACGGGGUGAAGUGCCAUUGAUACUGCCUUGCUGGAAUGCGGAUGCCGUGGGAGGAAUGUGUGGUGUAGCGGUGAAAUGCAUAGAUAUCACACAGAACACCGAUUGCGCAGGCAUCUCACGAAUCCGCGAUUGACGCUGAUGCACGAAAGCGUGGGUAUCAAACAGGAUUAGAUACCCUAGUAGUC
rnacentral:rRNA from 1 species